UACGUAGGGCGCAAGCGUUUAUCCGGAAUUAUUGGGCGUAAAGAGCUCGUAGGCGGUUUGUCGCGUCUGCCGUGAAAGUCCGGGGCUCAACUCCGGAUCUGCGGUGGGUACGGGCAGACUAGAGUGAUGUAGGGGGAGACUGGAAUUCCUGGUGUAGCGGUGAAAUGCGCAGAUAUCAGGAGGAACACCGGUGGCGAAGGCGGUUCUCUGGGCCUUACCUGACGCUGAGGAGCGAAAGCGUGGGGGAGCGAACAGG
rnacentral:rRNA from 1 species